rnacentral:rRNA from 1 species
AGAGUAAGAAAAAUAGAGAUUUUAUGAACUCGUAUGAAGGUCGAAGUGGUAUGUAGUUCAGGGAAACAGCGGACCAAGCGUUCACCAAGAACGCUAGUGCUGUACACAUCGGUUCCAAGUCACCUGGUGGUUGAACAGCUGAACGAUUGAGUACCCUAAAAGAUCCAUGUUAAGGACUUAGUAGACGACAAAGUUAAAGUUUACGAACGUUCCGACUUUAGAAGGAGACACUACCGUAGUUCACCGAACAGGGUCCUCUUAGAAAUAGCGGAUGCCUAGUCGAACGGAACCAAAGUGAGACUAAUACUUCCUGCUAGUCUUCUUUCUAUCCCGUUUUCCCUCAACUAGACGCGGCCCCAAGCCGAGGAAUCGAACGGAACCAAUGGGAGCCUUGUACCUCCUGUUAGUCUUCUUUCUAUCCCGUUUUCCCUCAACUAAACACGGUGCAUGUCUAGUGUCUAGUUGCAUGGAAACAGUAUAAUAAAAUGUUCCUGCUUGUCCUCCUUACUCUUUCUACUCGCCCUGUUUCCGUUUCUCUAGGGACAAACCGCGGUUCCUCCAAUAGUCCUUAGCUCACCCCUAUUACUCUCGGCAGUCUAAAUUUACCUACCGACUACACCCAACCAUGUCAUGGGCACGUCAUUAUUGCACUGACGUCUCCUCGGCUUCUCGUGAGAGGCAGGCAGUAGGGUCCAAGGUGUGCUAAAAAGACGGUAUAGCACACGGACUGUACUGGAGUGGACUCCCUCAUUGUUAAUUUGAACCUAAUAAAUACCCCGACGAUACGCAGCCGGCUGCCUAGCGCUCGUCAGCCUAGGCUACCUAAGAGUGGGCGUGGCGGGGCGGUAGCUGAAGGCAGUAACGUUGGAGGUUAGAUGAACCGGGUCCUCCGGGCCGCCGGGACACCAACGGUCACCGCUCGCUUCCAGCAGAAGCAGCAGUGGACCAUCGUUGUCCCCCGCCCGCUACAACUAUCUCCUCUCC